rnacentral:rRNA from 1 species
GAGUUUGAUCAUGGCUCAGGAUAAACGCUGGCGGCGCACAUAAGACAUGCAAGUCGAACGGACUUAACCUUUAGUUACUAAUGGAGCGGUUAGUGGCGGACUGGUGAGUAACGCGUAAGCAAUCUGCCUAUCAGAGGGGAAUAACAGUGAGAAAUCAUUGCUAAUACCGCAUAAGCUUUGAAUAUCGCAUGAUAUAAAAGAAAGGAGCAAUCCGCUGAUAGAUGAGCUUGCGUCUGAUUAGUUAGUUGGUGAGGUAACGGCCCACCAAGACGAUGAUCAGUAGCCGGACUGAGAGGUUGAACGGCCACAUUGGGACUGAGAUACGGCCCAGACUCCUACGGGAGGCAGCAGUCGGGAAUAUUGCGCAAUGGAGGAAACUCUGACGCAGUGACGCCGCGUGC